AUUGAACGCUGGCGGCAGGCCUAACACCUGCAAGUCGAGCGAGCGGCGGACGGGUGAGUAAUGUAUGGGGACUGCCCGAUAGAGGGGGAUAACUACUGGAAACGGUGGCUAAUACCGCAUACUAUCGGAUAACCCAUAUGGGAUUAGCUAGUAGGUGGGGUAAAGGCUCACCUAGGCGACGAUCUCUAGCUGGUCUGAGAGGAUGAUCAGCAAACUGGGGACUGAGACAGGGCCCAGACCCCUACGGGGGCAGCAGUGGGGAAUAUUGCACAAUGGGCGCAAGCCUGAUGCAGCCAUGCCGCGUGUAUGAAGAAGGCCUUCGGGUUGUAAAGUACUUUCAGCGAGGAGGCGUGACUCGCAGAAGAAGCACCGGCUAACUCCGUGCCAGCCGCCGCGGUAUAC
rnacentral:rRNA from 1 species